AAGAUCUUCAGAGAUUUGUGACUAGAAUAGCUGAGUAUGGACAAGAAUACGGUCUAACAAUGAACGUUAAAGAAGACAAAAUUCAUGAAAAUAUCGAAAACUUAAAGAAAUAACGAGAAUCUUCUCAUAAACGGAACCACUGUCGAAUGAGUGGACCAAUAUGUAUAUCUUUCAACAAUGAUCAACUCCACAAAUGAUUACUUCCAACAAAUUCAAAUCAGAAUAGAAAAGUCUAGGGCAGAUUUUAACAAGAUGAGAGGAAUGCUCUGCACAAGAGAUCUGAAGUUGGAGCUAAGAGUUAGGUUGGCUAGGUGCUAUGUUUUCUCGAUUCAAGGAAAGAGAAGCUUAGGAAGAUGUAGAAGAUGAUGGCUGCGACCUGAGACAAUGGUACGGAUGUGCAUCAAAUGAAUGAACUUUUCAGAGCAGCCGUCCCUUAAGCCCGAAUAGCAAUGAUGCUUGCCGACCUCCAUCGUGUAGAUGGUACUUGAAGAAAACAAAGGAAGAAUCAACACAGCGAAUCUCUAUUAUUUCCGAAUGUUGCGAUAAGCAAGUUUCAUGUGAUUUUCUUAAUAUAGGGUCUGCUGGCAUGUCAUCAAUGAAAUGAAAACGAAAAUCUGCGUUUGUUGUUCAUAACUGGCACGUACAGUAACAAUUAUUGUUCCAAUAAACGAUUUCUUAAUUGUGCAUAAUAUGAUGGUAUUAUCAUCUGAUACACUGUUACGUAUGUUUG
rnacentral:lncRNA from 1 species